rnacentral:rRNA from 1 species
UACGGAGGGUGCAAGCGUUAUCCGGAUUCACUGGGUUUAAAGGGUGUGUAGGCGGGUAUUUAAGUCAGUGGUGAAAUCUCCGAGCUUAACUUGGAAACUGCCAUUGAUACUAUUUAUCUUGAAUUCUGUUGAGGUGGGCGGAAUAUGUUAUGUAGCGGUGAAAUGCAUAGAUAUGACAUAGAACACCGAUUGCGAAGGCAGCUCACUAAGCAGACAUUGACGCUGAGGCACGAAAGCGUGGGGAUCAAACAGG